ensembl:lncRNA
GCAGUGUGUAAGUUACAGUAUACAACUUUUUAGCUAAUGUAUUUAAGUAGACUACAGCUGUCAGUGUUCAGCAAGUUAACAUUAAGCAACCUGAAAUCAAUUAGCUAGCUCAGUUACUUCAGUUCAGAGUAGGGCUAGCAAUGAUCAAACUGGUAACUUAAGACUGUUGAUUUUAACGUACAGUUAUGAAAAUGAGGAUUUGUAAUUAAGAUAAAAAAUGUUGGUAAUUGGAUGAUUAGAUGUAACCAUAGACUGUCAACAUUCCUUGUUUGCUUGAUGCUUGCUAUAUCUAAUUGCAGUGUGUAUUUUGGGGGGUAAUUGUGAGCUUUUUUGUACAUAAAUUCAGCAGUUCAUGUAACAGACAGAUGCUACUAUAUCUUAUCUCCUUGGUGCUUAAGCAUUAUUUUCUGAAAAUAUUUUGGAUGUUCAACACUUAUGGGGUGGGUCACAGACAGAGUGACCCAAUUCUUUCUACUAGAUGAGUACUCUGUGUUUGAAUGUGUGUGUUAUUACUAUCAAUACCAGAAAUUUUUGGUCCCCAUGAGGAAACCAGCUUAUAAAUCUUACUAAACCUGCAUUCUACAUUUUUGAAAUGUAAAAAUGCAUUUUUUUAUGUUUAGGUGAUGGAUAGGUUUAGGGGAUGGAAAAUACAGUUUGCACAGUAUAAAAAUAAUUAUGGAAAUUCCCCAUAAAACAUGGAAACCCAUUUGUGUGUGUGUGUGUGUGUGUGUAGCCAUAUGGAAAAGUACCUCAUGACCACGGUUAAAUUAAGUGGUGGCUCUUUAAUGUUUUGGAACUGUUUUUCUGCCAGAGGACCUGGACAUUUUAUUAGAAUACAUGGCAUCAUGGAGUCUAUCAAAUAUCAACGGAUAUUAAAUGAAAACCUGACUGCCUCUGCCAGAAAGCUUAAAUGGGCCGUGGUUGGAUCUUCCAGUAGCAUAAUCACCCAAAAAAUAUGUCAAUAUCAACACAAAAAUGGUUUACUGACCACAAAAUCAAGGUCCUGUGAGGUGAACUGAAGAGGAGAGUCCACCAGCAUGGACCUCAAAAUUUAAAGGAUCUGGAGAGAUUCUGUAUAGAGGAAUGGUCUCAGAUACCUUGCAAUGUAUUCAAUGUAUUCAGGCAUUAUAGGAGAAGACUCAGAGCUUUUAUCUUGGCAAAGGGAGGUAGCACAAUGUAUUGACUAAAAGGGUGUCAAUAUUUGUUGCACACCUUUAAUAAUUUUUUUAUAUAUAUAAAACUGUGUUGUGCUUGAAAUUGUUUGAUAUCCAUGAGAGAAUAGUAUUUUUGAGAAUUUUUUUUUAAGAUCCAAA